rnacentral:rRNA from 1 species
UACGGAGGGUGCGAGCGUUGUCCGGAAUCAUUGGGCGUAAAGGGCGCGUAGGUGGCUUCUUAAGCGUGCGGUGAAAGCCUGGGGCUCAACCCCGGGUCGGCCGUGCGAACUGGGGGGCUGGAGCACUGUAGAGGCAGGCGGAAUUCCGGGUGUAGCGGUGGAAUGCGUAGAGAUCCGGAGGAACACCAAAGGCGAAGGCAGUGUCCUGGGGAGUACCUGACGCUCAGGUGCGAAAGCCAGGGGAGCGAACGGG